GCCAUUUUGGGUUGGUGAUCGUGGGGACUUUUGGCUAAACGGGUUACUAAGAUUGGAGAAAAAAUUGAAAUCAAGAGAUGUAGGGCUCCUAAUUGAGUCAGAAUCUGAUGAACCUCUAGAACCGAACCCCACAAAGAAACCAGGAAAAUUGAAAAAUGUGCUGCUUAUGUGUCUCAGGCCUGAUGCAUCAGAUUGGCAAUGGGACUCUGAAGCAGAAUCAGCCAUUAGAUUGAACGUGCAUGCUCCUUCUAUCAUAUUCUGCUUCUAUUUGUAAGCAUCAUUAAAGAGCCCCUCAAUGGUUGAAGUAAAAACUGGCAAUUUCCUGGGUUUCCCCUCUUAAAACUUCAAAGAAGGGCCGGACAGAAACUCAAAUGCAAGCAGAGCCA
rnacentral:misc_RNA from 1 species